rnacentral:rRNA from 1 species
CAAAGGAAUUGACGGGACCCGCACAAGCGGUGGAUGAUGUGGUUUAAUUCGAUGCAACGCGAAAACCUUACCCACCUUUGACAUGGCAGGAAUCCCGAAGAGAUUUGGGAGUGCUCGAAAGAGAACCUGCACACAGGUGCUGCAUGGCUGUCGUCAGCUCGUGUCGUGAGAUGUUGGGUUAAGUCCCGCAACGAGCGCAACCCUUGCCAUUAGUUGCUACGAAAGGGCACUCUAAUGGGACUGCCGGUGACAAACCGGAGGAAGGUGGGGAUGACGUCAAGUCCUCAUGGCCCUUAUAGGUGGGGCUACACACGUCAUACAAUGGCCGGUACAGAGGGUAGCCAACCCGCGAGGGGGAGCCAAUCCCACAAAGCCGGUCGUAGUCCGGAUCGCAGUCUGCAACUCGACUGCGUGAAGUCGGAAUCGCUAGUAAUCGUGGAUCAGAAUGUCACGGUGAAUACGUUCCCGGGUCUU